rnacentral:rRNA from 1 species
CCUACGGGAGGCAGCAGUGAGGAAUAUUGGUCAAUGGGCGUAAGGCUGAACCAGCCAAGCCGCGUGAAGGAAGAAGGAUCUAUGGUUUGUAAACUUCUUUUAUAGGGGAAUAAAGAUAUACACGUGUGCCUUUUUGCAUGUACCCUAUGAAUAAGAGUAGGCUAACUCCGUGCCAGCAGCCGCGGUACUACGGAGGAUGCGAGCGUUAUCCGGAUUUAUUGGGUUUAAAGUGUGCGUAGGUGGUUUGUUAAGUCAGAGGUGAAAGUUCGUGGCUCAACCAUAAAAUUGCCGUUGAUACUGGAAGACUUGAGUGUGUUAGAGGUAGGCGGAAUUCGAGGUGUAGCGGUGAAAUGCAUAGAUAUCACGAAGAACUCCGAUGGCGAAGGCAGCUUACUAGGCCAUAACUGACGCUGAGGCACGAAAGCGUGGGGAUCAAACAGGAUUAGAUACCCCAGUAGUC